UUCCGGUUGAUCCUGCCGGACCCCACUGCUAUCGAGGUGGGACUUAGCCAUGCUAGUCGAACGAACAGAACUAUGUCUGUAAGUGGCAUACUGCUCAGUAACACGUAGCUAACCUACCCUUAGGACGUCGAUAACCCCGAGAAAUUGGGGCUAAUAGGCGAUAGAUGUAUUGUCCUGGAAUGGUAAUACGUCCAAAGGUAUCCCAUACAUGUUUGGUAUACGCCUAAGGAUGGGGCUGCGGCCGAUCAGGCUGUUGGUGAGGUAAUGGCUCACCAAACCUUUGACCGGUACGGGCCAUGAGAGUGGUAGCCCAGAGAUGGACACUGAGACAAGGGUCCAGGCCCUACGGGGCGCAGCAGGCGCGAAACCUCCUCAAUGCACUAACGUGCGAAGGGGUUACCUCGAGUGCCACCUGAAGAAGGUGGCUUUUCCUUGGUCUAAAAAGCCUAGGGAAUAAGAGGGGGGCAAGACUGGUGUCAGCCGCCGCGGUAACACCAGCCCCUCGAGUGGUGGGGAUGAUUAUUUGGCCUAAAGCGUCCGUAGCCGGCCGGGUAAGUUUCCCGUUAAAUCCAGCGUCUCAAGCGUUGGACUGCGGGAAAUACUGCCUGGCUAGAGAGUGGGAGAGGUCAGCGGUAUUCUGGGGGUAGGGGCGAAAUCCUUUGAUCCCCGGAGGACCACCAGUGGCGAAGGCUGCUGACUAGAACACGUCUGACGGUCAGGGACGAAAGCUGGGGUAGCGAACCGGAUUAGAUACCCGGGUAGUCCCAGCCGUAAACGAUGCAUGCUAGGU
rnacentral:rRNA from 1 species